CUGAAAGCUGCCAGGUUUGAAUCCCACCUGGGGAGAGUGUGGAUGAGCUCCCUCUAUCAGCUCCAGCUCCAUGCGGGGACAUGAGAGAAGCCUCCCACAAGGAUGGUAAAAACAUCAAAACAUCCGGGCAAUGUCCCCUGGGCAACGUCCUUGCAGACGGCCAAUUCUCUCACUCCAGAAGCAACUCCGGUUGCUCCUGACACGGAAAAAAAAAUUGUAUUGGUUUUAAUGUAUGACUAUUAUAUGUGACAUUGGGCUUAUUCCCCAUGUGAGCCGCCCUGAGUGCCCCUGGGAUAUAAAAAUAAAGAAUUAUUAUUAUUAUUAUUAUUAUUAUUAUUAUUAUUAUUAUUAUUAUUGAAAUUUACCAGUAGCGACUGCUCAGCUUAUACUCGAGUCAAUACAUUUCCCCAGUUUUCCUGGUAAAUUUAUGUGCUUCAGCGUACCUUUGGGUCGACUUAUACUCAAGUAUAUAUGGUAAUGAUGACACGAACAAAUGUGAGUCAGAAAUAUUUCAAACAAUCCACAUGAUGCUUUAUAUUUUAUGAUGGUGGCAUUCCACUCCUCUGAUGCUCUCUUGUAUCAGAUGACCAUACGUUUGACGACCUGAAUCAUGCGCAGAGUGUGUUGCAGUUAGUGAGGAACGGAAUUCUUUGUCCAUUAAAGAAAGAUGUUGCGAAAGAACAGGCCUCCUUCUGUGAUUUUAUCGCCUAACCUUCCCUUUCCCUCUUCCCAAGGAGGCCGUUUUCCCAAGAUGGAGAUAAAUCCCGACGCUUUCGGCCCUGCCGGGGAUGUCCUCAGCGCAGAAUCCGCCUGCUACCAAUGUUCCACUUGCUGUGCGGACGAGGAUCGCACUUGCGCCAACUCCAUGCGGAGCCGCUCCAAGACGCGCAGUUUAUCCGCUUCUCCGGCCCUGGGCAGCGCCAGAGAAUUCAGGAGGACGCGCUCCUUGCAUGGACCAAGCCCAGUGACCACGUUUGGACCAAAGGCCUGCAUGCUGCAGAAUCCCAAAACUAUCAUGUAAGUAGGAAAGCGCCCAACCCGAUCAAUCCAAUUGUUUAUUUAACAAAGCCUUUCUAAUCAACCUCUUUGAUUGAACUUAAUUCAUAUUUUUCCCUUGCCCAUUUAUGGAAAUGCUCCAAGUGCUGAAGUUGUGUACUUACUCAUUUCAGUUGUUAGUUUUUGAAACAAAAACAUUCAUCCCUUGCAAAAGAUUGUGCUCUGUCUUCUUCUGCAUUCUUCAGAGUUCGCUAUAUGCAUGCAUGGUUUUCACAAGUUGGUUCCUUUUUCGUUUAGCAAUUGAUAUUGUCACAAGUGGUUGCAAACCGUACUGAUGUAAGUUUGUAAACUACAGAGAGUUUUGGCAUAAACUAUUCUAUGGCUAUACUUUAACUAUGAAUAUAAAGACAGUUCCAUCUUGUCUUCUUUGCACCAGCUGAAGGCCUCUCUCACUAGUAACAUG
rnacentral:lncRNA from 11 species